UAUUACAUAGUUAUUGUAAUUACUAUAAUAAGUACAUAGUAUGUUGUGCUAUCUAUAUAGUGCUACCAUCCACGCUGUGCCAUCAUUGCAACACAUGGCCCAGCUCUGGCUGAAUGGGUACAUGCCAUUGCUGACAGGAGGCCAGCAGUGAGGCCACAUUUGGGCCAAGACCGUUUGCUAUGUGGGUAGUGCUGUAUGGUUUGUCCAAAAAUCUGACUCACUUUUUUUUGGGGGGGGGGGAUUCUGGUAGUUUCACAGUUCAUUAAAUUUUAACCUGACUGUGUGUAUUAAUAAUGAUCCAAACAUGCUGCAUUCAAAACUACAUUAAAGGGGUUAUAUGAUGUUGCUAAAAAGGCAACAUUAUUUUGUGUACUUAGUGUAAAGAAAUGUGUUUAUGCAGUUAAAUGCUAAAAAACACAUUAUUUUCCGCUUACUGUACAUUAUUGUUGCUCCUCUAUGCCCCGCCUGAAAUGCGACGGUUUUUACAGAGCUCAUCAUUCUGAAAAGCACAGUGUGCUCUGAUUGGGCAGCUAUCCCAUGCAUUGUGAUUGGCCGGAUGCCUCAAGUGUGUGACAGAAAUGUUAUGCCCUUACCAUAUUGUGAUGGCGUGUCCUGGUACGACGAGAUAAAACCAAUAAAACCCAUUACACAUGAGGCAUUAGUUGCACUCAGUGGGGACACAAUUAUUACACUGAUUAUAAUGACUUAUACUGCGUUUUACUUCAUCGCAUUGCACCGUGCCGCACAAACAUAAACACAAGCCACUAUUCUAUACUGCUCAAAAAUCAUGUUUGAAUCAUUAGUUGCAAAUUCUAUAAAUAUGAAAACGUACUUACAGACUGUGAGUCAGAACAGCAGGCAUUGUAGGCUAACCUCCCAGGUUCAGGAAACAGUCCUUAGUAAAACGCGCUGCACACACUUGAAUAUUUUGUUGAACUGUUCUGGAACAGUGUAGUAAAUACAACUUAAUCACUGAUUUCUAGUUGUGUCCUCUUUUGAAAGACCAAACAAAGUAGUUUCGCUUUCACAACGAAACACAUUGUCUCCACGACAAUACUACAAAGAGAAUCAAAGUAACGCCUUCUUUCUUUGCGUAAACAUUUGGGCAGUGUUAUGCAAAUCUUUUCAACAAACAUUCCCAAAACCUGUUGCGAUUAGGGCCACAACAUCACCUCCAUUCAAAAUGUAAAACUAACACUCUGCGAAUAGCAUCCCGUGUCUCCAUGUCCACUGUCGUUUUCGAUUUCCCUAACCUAAACUAUGAUCUUACUUUCGGUGCUUAGCGUCUAUGUCACGGCUCUCAGCCCGCCCUCUGUUUCGUUGAUUGGCCGGCUGUUUUGAGGCUGGAGGAAAACUGAGAGAUAGGUCGCUAUCUCAGACUGAGUACAGAAGCGAACUGAAAUUGAGCAUAAGUACAAAAAAAUGGUUGUAAUUUGUUCAACCCUUUGAAAAGUCUGUACUUUAAUUUAAUCUUGAUUGUCUCAUUUUAAUUCUAUUCUGGUGGCAUACAGAGGCAAAAUUAUGAAAAUUCUUUCAGAGUCCAAAUAUAUACGGACUUAACUGUAAAUUGAUGUCAGAUGCUGUCAGAAUGAGUCAACACAGCAGAUAAAAGCAUGCUUCACAAAACAUUAAUUGAUAAACUGGAGUUAUGUGUAUUACUUGUGGAUUAAUGUGAUGCUCUUAUCAGCUGUUGGAACUCUCAUUCUGACUGCACCCAUUUACUGGAGAUCGACUGGUGAGCAAUGCAGAGCAAAAGCAAUGUAAUGCUAAAUUUCUUUAAAUCUGAAGAUACAAAGAAGAAACACAUCUCCACAUCUUGGAUGGACUAGGAGUGAGUAUAAUUUAUUUAAUUUGUGUCAUCUUGAAUCUAAAUGGAAAUAGCUCAGUUAAUUUUACAUUGUAACUUUAAGUCUUGUAAUGCAUAGAACUAUUAACUGGAUUUAGCAAUUCACAUUCUACAUCAAAUGCAGUGAUUUAAGUUUCCUGUCACUUUCUUUCAUAGUGAGGGCACCAGGCUGUUUACGUAUAGUCACAUGGCUUAUCUUAAAGACAAAAUAAAGCUUCAGUGUCAAAAGAGGUCAAAAGAAUGAUGAAAGAAGAUUGAAUAAAACCAUACGAUCAGCACAUGUCAGUGAAGUUCCAUUGUUCCAUUGAUACAUUUGUCAGUGACACACCUUGAGCAAUUUUAAGAUCAGUAUUGGGGAAGAAAAAAAGAAAGAAAAAAAGAAGGGGAAAAACAAGGAGAACAAAGUGACUGAACAGAGAGGGGGGGGCUAGAGGAAGAGAGUGACUAAACUCUCUGAAAAAGCAAAAUGGGAAGUCUGCAAAUAAAAGGAGAGGAGAAGAAAUGCUACAAACCACAUGUUGCUGUUUGGAGCCAUAAUCCAGCUAUGCAGCGAGACAGAAUCACUGCACCAUCCAAUGUCCAGCGUUUGGCAAUGUCCCAGGCUAGCAGAUGGUAUUAUGAGCUGGGCUCAUCUCAUCCAACAACAAUGGCAAAGCUAUUGAAGGCUCUCCCAGUCCUGUCACGGCUCGGUUUGGGCUGAGGAGGCCAGAUAUCUUGAGCCACGGAAAGACCCAUGAAACGCAGAAGCACUCAGUCACCUUCAACAAGACACUGGAGACCAUUGACCCCAUUAAACAUGCAGCAUCUAUCACCAUUCCCC